rnacentral:rRNA from 1 species
UACGAAGGGGGCUAGCGUUGUUCGGAUUUACUGGGCGUAAAGCGCACGUAGGCGGGUCGUUAAGUCAGGGGUGAAAUCCCGGGGCUCAACUCCGGAACUGCCUUUGAUACUGGCGACCUUGAGGCUGGAAGAGGUUAGUGGAAUUCCCAGUGUAGAGGUGAAAUUCGUAGAUAUUGGGAAGAACACCAGUGGCGAAGGCGGCUAACUGGUCCAGAUCUGACGCUGAGGUGCGAAAGCGUGGGGAGCAAACAGG